rnacentral:rRNA from 1 species
CGUAGGGUGCGAGCGUUGUCCGGAUUUAUUGGGCGUAAAGAGCUCGUAGGCGGUUUGUCGCGUCUAUCGUGAAAACCGGGAGCUUAACUCCUGGCUUGCGGUGGAUACGGGCAGACUUGAGUUCGGUAGGGGAGACUGGAAUUCCUGGUGUAGCGGUGAAAUGCGCAGAUAUCAGGAGGAACACCGGUGGCGAAGGCGGGUCCCUGGGCCGAUACUGACGCUGAGGAGCGAAAGCGUGGGGAGCGAACAGGAUU